rnacentral:tRNA from 1 species
AGCGACUUAGGUUUAAUAAUCAGACCAAGGGCCUUCAAAGCCCUAAGUGAGGGUGAAAACCCCCCAGUCUCUG